rnacentral:rRNA from 1 species
UACGUAGGGGGCAAGCGUUGUCCGGAAUCAUUGGGCGUAAAGCGCGCGUAGGCGGCCAGAUAAGUCCGGUGUGAAAGUCACAGGCUCAACCUGUGAAUGCCGCUGGAAACUGUCUGGCUAGAGUCCGGAAGAGGCGAGUGGAAUUCCUGGUGUAGCGGUGGAAUGCGCAGAUAUCAGGAGGAACACCCAUAGCGAAGGCAGCUCGCUGGGACGGUACUGACGCUAAGGCGCGAAAGCGUGGGGAGCGAACAGG